rnacentral:rRNA from 1 species
UCGCCUGCAUGAAGUCGGAAUUGCUAGUAAUCGCGGAUCAGCAUGCCGCGGUGAAUACGUUCCCGGGCCUUGUACACACCGCCCGUCACACCAUGGGAGUCGGUAACACCCGAAGCCGAUAGUCUAACGAAAGAGGACGUCGCCGAAGGUGGGAUUGAUGACUGGGGUGAAGUCGUAACAAGGUACC